CUCUUGGUGGAAAUAUUAAAUGAUGCAGGAAUGUGAAAAAUAUAUGUACCUGUAUUGAAUGUUUGCUUCCAGGACAUAUGUUGCAAACUUUCUAGACAAGUACAUUUUGGAGGAGGUUGUAUAUAUGUGCCAGGUGAUUGUUUGGAGGAGCCAGGAGGUUGUUUAUAUGUGCCAUAAUAAUGUUACUGGAUACAGCAAUAUGAUAGUGUUUAAAUGUGCAUAAUACAUGUAUGAUGUUAGUGCUGCUCAAUAUAGAAAGUUGUGUGUAGGGUAAAGUCCCUCCUGCAAGAAAUCCCUCCGACUGAUUUUUGAAUAGGUGGACACAACCCCUCCCAUUAAUGUUCUUUUUAUGCCCCCGGCAUCUACUGAUGCAGGAGGCAUAUAGUGAUUGUCCUGUCCGUCCUUCCGUUCGUCCAUCCGUACGAGGUUAACUAAAUGGGACCGUUUCGUCUAGCAUCAGUACCCCUUAUUAGAAUGACUUGAUACUAAUGCAGAUGUAACCUGUGACCAUUCCUCAUCUUCAAACAUCACCUGACCUCAGUUUGACCUUGACCUUGUUUUGGACUUAGGUUGCUUUGUAUGGGCCAUCUCUUGGUUAACCAAAUGGGACCGUUUCGUCUAGCAUCAAUACCCCUGACUAGAAUGACUUGAUACUAAUGCAGAUGUAACCUGUGACCAUUCCUCAUCUUCAAACAUCACCUGGACUCAGUUUGACCUUGAACUUGACCUCGAUUUGGACUUGGGUUGCUUUGUAUCAACAAGGAUGCUACCGGUGGCACCAAGCGUUUAUUGAACGCAGCUUCUUGUUUUUACUUAAAAUAUUUCAAAGACAUUAACUAAAUUUGAUGCUGAAAUAAAAAAAAAGUAUUUUCAUAAAUUCUUUGCUAAAUCA